CCUAGGGGGCUGCAGUGGGGAAUAUUGGACAAUGGGCGAAAGCCUGAUCCAGCCAUGCCGCGUGUGAGAAGAAGGCCUUCGGGUUGUAAAGCACUUUCAGUGGGGAAGAAAGCCUUGGGGCUAAUACCCUCGAGGAAGGACAUCACCCACAGAAGAAGCACCGGCUAACUCCGUGCCAGCAGCCGCGGUAAUACGGAGGGUGCGAGCGUUAAUCGGAAUUACUGGGCGUAAAGCGCGCGUAGGCGGUCUGAUAAGCCGGUUGUGAAAGCCCCGGGCUCAACCUGGGAACGGCAUCCGGAACUGUCAGGCUAGAGUGCAGGAGAGGAAGGUAGAAUUCCCGGUGUAGCGGUGAAAUGCGUAGAGAUCGGGAGGAAUACCAGUGGCGAAGGCGGCCUUCUGGACUGACACUGACGCUGAGGUGCGAAAGCGUGGGUAGCAAACAGGAUUAGAUACCCUUGUAGUC
rnacentral:rRNA from 1 species